UAAAUUAAAAAUUCAUUUUACAUAAAAUUUUAAAAAUAUUCUUUAUUAUAAAUUUAAUUUAAAUAUUUAUUCCUUUCGUACUAAAAUAUUCUAUAUUUUUAAAGAUAGAAACCAACCUGGCUUACACCGGUUUGAACUCAGAUCAUGUAAGAUUUUAAUGAUCGAACAGAUCAAAAUUUUAAACUUUUGCAUUUAAAUUUUAUCUUAAUCCAACAUCGAGGUCGCAAACUUUUUUUUUUAUAUGAACUAAAAAAAAUUACGCUGUUAUCCCUAAGGUAAUUUUUUCUUAUAAUCAAAAAUUAUGGAUCAAUUAUUCACUUAUUCAUGAAUUUAAUUAAAAAAAGUUAAUCUUAUUUUUUUAUCACCCCAAUAAAAUAAAAAAAUUUAUUUUAAUUAUUAUUUUUAUAAAUAAUUUUAAUAAAUUUAUUUUAUCAAACUCUAUAGGGUCUUCUCGUCUUUUAAAUCCAUUAUAACUUUUUAAUUAAAAAAUUAAUUUAUUUAUUUAAAAAUGAGACAGUAUAUAUUUCAUCCAAUCCUUCAUACAAGUCACUAAUUAAGAGACUAUUGAUUAUGCUACCUUUGUACAGUCAAUAUACUGCAGCCCUUUAAUAUUAAAUCAGUGGGCAGAUUAGACUUUAAAUUAUUAUCUCAAAAAGACAUGUUUUUGAUAAACAAGUGAAUAUAAAUUUUUGCCGAAUUCCUUAUUAUUUUAAUUUAAAUAAUAAUUAAAUUUUAUUUUUAAAUUAAAUACUAAUUUUAUCAUUAUAACUAAUUUUAUUGAAUUUAAAAAUAUUUUUUUAUAAAAAAUUAAAUUAUUAAAAAAUUUUAAUUUAAUUAAAAUUAAUUUAUAAUAAAUUAAAAAUUAUAAACAAUAUAAAUUUUAAAAAUUUUAAUAAAAUCAUUUUAAUAUUAUAAAAAUUUAAUUUAAAGCUUAUCCCUUAAAAUAUAUUUUUUUAUUUUAAGAUAAAUUAAUUAAUUAAUUUAUCUUAAAAUAAAAAAAAAAUUAAAUUUUUUUCUAAAAAAACUAGAUAUAUUUAAAAACGAUUAACAUCUCAUUUCAAAUUAAUUAUUUAAAAUAUUUAUGCCACAAUAACUUUUAUAAUUAAUUAUCUCUUUUAAAUUCGAGAAAUAUUUAAGCUAAACCUUUUUUUUAAUAAACUCUGAUACACAAGAUACAAUAAAUUAAAUUUACUUUUAAUUAAAUUAAUUUUCAUAAUUAUUUAAAAUUUCUUAUACAAUACUAUUAAACUAUAAAUAUAAUAAUUUUUUUUUUAUUAAUACUAAAACCCCCCAAUUUUAAUAUUAAAAUUAUUUUUAUUAUCUUUAUUUCAUUAAUUUUUCAACU
rnacentral:rRNA from 1 species